UUCUUGCUAAAAAAGUCAUGUUAUGAAGAGAAAAAAGCAUGCUUAGUUUUAAGAAGGGAAAACCAAAAAAGGAAAUGGUUCCAAACCGAAUUGGCAGGAAAACUGGACGGGGCGGGAAGAAAAGGCGGGAGAUGGGGAAGCCGGAGAGGUGAGGAUCUGCUCCGAUCUAAAAUCCCUUGGUAAUUGUAGCAAACUGUGCAUUAGCGGGGAAUUCUGCAAUUGGAUUUUGGAUAGUCGGAUUUGUGAUCUGCCACAACCGUUUCGUAGAGAAAUACGGGGGCAUUGCAGAUCCGGUCAAAUUCUGGCCAUCGGUGUGGCCUGGGUUCUCCUAUCGUCUAUCAACUGCCAUCGAGGGUUUCUAUUCUUGUACGAAGAGCAAGGGUAUGUCUAAUGAUUUCCAUCUGAGAUUAAAGAUGACAUGCGAAUGCAAAAAGGUGUAAGUGAUCCUCCAGAACUAGAAGAUUGGUUUAUUAAAGAAAGAGAUCAAGAAACCUCCACGUUUAUGGUAGAAGACAUGUGAAUUUUGAGCAAGAGGCAUAUGAAGAAAUAGGGAUCACCCAUUGAAGAUGAGGAAGAUUGGUCACGGAGGCAUCUUCAAUAAUUUGUUCCAUACCCGAAAACUGUGAAUAUUUUAAUUUUUUUUUUAUCAUAUCUGGGUUAUUUUACAAAAUUGAGACUUAGAAUUGUAUGGUGGUGACUUGGAACGAAAAUUUAGAUGGCCAUCGUCACACUUUUCAAGUAAUUUUGAACCUGUCCCAACUCGAUUUUGAUUCUUAGCUUUUUGAAAUGACGUAUCCCUACCAUUUCUAUCUUUA